UUUAUUGUUGUUAUCAGGACAACUAGGAAGAUGUGGACAUGUUUAAUUAGUUUAGAGAGAGAGAGAGAGAGAGAGAUUUGAAGGGAAAGAAGAGAGAGAAAUGGCUAUAGAGGUAGUGCAAAGGAUGUAUGAGUGAGAAAGGGCUCCGCUCCAUUUGUUAAAUAUAAAAAUAUAUAAACAUCGUUCUCUAAUAUUUUAAGCUUUUAAGAGUACAACGGUUGUUUCAUAUGGUAUCAGAGCAGAACAUUAUUAAUUUUCUCCCGCUUAAACUUUUAGAGUACAACGAUUAUUUCAUACCAUUAAAAUGGUUUAUUAUAC
rnacentral:lncRNA from 1 species